CGGUUGAUCCUGCCGGACCCGACUGCUAUUUGGGUGAGGAUAAGCCAUGCGAGUUGAAUGGGAUACCUAAAUUUCCCAUGGCAAACUGCUCAGUAACACAUGAUCAACUUACCCUAUAGAGAAAAAUAACCUCAGCAAACUGAGGAUAAUGUUUCGGUAGUUGAUGAGGCUUGGAAAAGUUCAUCAACAAAAUGGGAUAAAAACAAUGGUUUUUAUCCGCUAUAGGAUAGGAUCGUGUUCGAUUAUGGUUGUUGGUGAGGUAAUGGCUCACCAAGCCGAUAAUCGAUAGGGGCCGUGAGAGCGGGAGCCCCGAGAUGGGUACUGAGACAACGACCCAGGCCUUACGAGGCGCAGCAGGCGCGGAACCUCCGCAAUACACGAAAGUGUGACGGGGUUACCCAAAGUGUUCAGUUUUGAACUGUGGUAGGUGAGUAAUGUCCCCUACUAGAAAGGAGAGGGCAAGGCUGGUGCCAGCCGCCGCGGUAAAACCAGCUCUUCAAGUGGUCGGGAUAAUUAUUGGGCUUAAAGUGUCCGUAGCCGGUUUAGUAAGUUCCUGGUAAAAUCGGGUAGCUUAACUAUCUGUAUGCUAGGAAUACUGCUAUACUAGAGGGCGGGAGAAGUCUGAGGUACUACAGGGGUAGGGGUGAAAUCUUAUAAUCCUUGUAGGACCACCAGUGGCGAAGGCGUCAGACUGGAACGCGCCUGACGGUGAGGGACGAAAGCCAGGGGAGCGAACCGGAUUAGAUACCCGGGUAGUCCUGGCCGUAAACGAUGCAUACUAGGUGAUGGCACGGCCAUGAGCCGUGUCAGUGCCGUAGGGAAACCGUUAAGUGUGCCGCCUGGGAAGUACGGUCGCAAGGCUAAAACUUAAAGGAAUUGGCGGGGGAGCAC
rnacentral:rRNA from 1 species